UGGUGGCCUAGUGGUUAGAGCGUCCGUCCCGGAUGCAGAAGGUCGUGGGUUCGAUCACAGGCCGAGUCAUACCAUAAAAA